rnacentral:rRNA from 1 species
UAGGGAAUCUUCGGCAAUGGGGGCAACCCUGACCGAGCAACGCCGCGUGAGUGAAGAAGGUUUUCGGAUCGUAAAGCUCUGUUGUAAGAGAAGAACGUGUGUGAGAGUGGAAAGUUCACACAGUGACGGUAACUUACCAGAAAGGGACGGCUAACUACGUGCCAGCAGCCGCGGUAAUACGUAGGUCCCGAGCGUUGUCCGGAUUUAUUGGGCGUAAAGCGAGCGCAGGCGGUUUAAUAAGUCGGAAGUUAAAGGCAGUGGCUUAACCAUUGUUCGCUUUGGAAACUGUUAAACUUGAGUGCAGAAGGGGAGAGUGGAAUUCCAUGUGUAGCGGUGAAAUGCGUAGAUAUAUGUAGGAACACCGGUGGCGAAAGCGGCUCUCUGGUCUGUAACUGACGCUGAGGCUCGAAAGCGUGGGGAGCGAGCAGG